AGAGUAGUUAUAGAGGGAGUAGUUAUAGAGGGAGUAGUUAUAGAGGGAGUAGUUAUAGAGGGAGUAGUUAUAGAGGGAGUAGUUAUAGAGGGAGUAGUUAUAGAGGGAGUAGUUAUAGAGGUUAUAGAGGGAGUAGUUAUAGAGUAGUUAUAGAGGGAGUAGUUAUAGAGGUUAUAGAGGUUAUAGAGGGAGUAGUUAUAGAGGGAGUAGUUAUAGAGGUUAUAGAGGUUAUAGAGGGAGUAGUUAUAGAGGUUAUAGAGGGAGAAGUUAUAGAGGGAGUAGUUAUAGAGGUUAUAGAGGGUGUAGUUAUAGAGGGUGUAGUUAUAGAGGGAGUAGUUAUAGAGGUUAUAUAGGGAGUAGUUAUAGAGGUUAUAGAGGGAGUAGUUAUAGAGGUUAUACAGGGAGUAGUUAUAGAGGUUAUAGAGGGAGUAGUUAUAGAGGUUAUAGAGGGAGUAGUUAUAGAGGUUAUAGUGGGAGUAGUUAUAGAGGUUAUAGAGGGUGUAGUUAUAGAGGUUAUAGAGGGAGUAGUUAUAGAGGUUAUAGAGGGAGUAGUUAUAGAGGUUAUAGAGGGAGUAGUUAUAGAGGGUAUAGAGGGAGUAGUUAUAGAGGGAGUAGUUAUAGAGGGAGUAUU
ensembl:lncRNA